rnacentral:rRNA from 1 species
GACGAACGCUGGCGGCGUGCCUAAUACAUGCAAGUCGAACGCAGUGGGGACGGGUGAGUAACACGUGGGUAACCUCCCAUCAGAGGGGAUAACACUUGGAAACAGGUGCUAAACCGAUACUGAUGGAUGGACCCGCGGUGCAUUAGCUAGUUGGGUAGGUAACGGCUCACCAAGGCCACGAUGCAUAGGCGACCUGGUGGGGUGGUCCGCCAACCCUGGACCUGGAAGCGGCCCCGACCCCAUCGGGAGGGAAGAAUAAGGAAUCGUCGGCAAGGGAAUAAAGUCUUACCGGACCAAGCCGGCUUGGGGGAAGAAGUUUUGGGAGUGUAAAACCCUGGUGUUAGUAGAACGGUAUCUUACCAGAAAGCCACGGCUAACUACGUGCCAGCAGCCGCGGUAAUUC